rnacentral:rRNA from 1 species
UACGGAGGGUGCAAGCGUUAUCCGGAAUUACUGGGCUUAAAGGGCGCGUAGGCGGCUAUGUAAGUCAGGAGUGAAAGUUUGCGGCUCAACCGUAAAAUUGCUUUUGAUACUGCAUGGCUGGAAUUAGGAUGAGGUCAGCGGAAUGUGGCAUGUAGCGGUGAAAUGCAUAGAUAUGACAUAGAACACCAAUUGCGAAGGCAGCUGGCUAGACCUGGAUUGACGCUGAGGCACGAAAGCGUGGGGAGCGAACAGG